rnacentral:rRNA from 1 species
GAUGAACGCUGACAGAAUGCUUAACACAUGCAAGUCAACUUGAAUUUGGGUUUUUAACUUAGGUUUGGGUGGCGGACGGGUGAGUAACGCGUAAAGAACCUGCCUCACAGCUAGGGACAACAUUUGGAAACGAAUGCUAAUACCUAAUAUUAUGAUAAUAGGGCAUCCUAUAAUUAUGAAAGCUAUAAGCGCUGUGAGAGAGCUUUGCGUCCCAUUAGCUAGUUGGAGAGGUAACGGCUCACCAAGGCGAUGAUGGGUAGCCGGCCUGAGAGGGUGAUCGGCCACAAGGGGACUGAGACACGGCCCUUACUCCUACGGGAGGCAGCAGUGGGGAAUAUUGGACAAUGGACCGAGAGUCUGAUCCAGCAAUUCUGUGUGCACGAUGAAGUUUUUCGGAAUGUAAAGUGCUUUCAGUUGGGAAGAAACAAAUGACGGUACCAACAGAAGAAGUGACGGCUAAAUACGUG